GACGAACCGUGCAAACGUUAUUCGGAAUCACUGGGCUUAAAGAGUCCGUAGGCGGCGCGUUAGGUGGGGUGUGAAAUCCCUCGGCUCAACCGAGGAAUUGCGCUCCAAACCGGCGUGCUUGAGGAAGGUAGAGGUGAGCGGAACUGAUGGUGGAGCGGUGAAAUGCGUUGAUAUCAUCAGGAACACCGGAGGCGAAGGCGGCCUUCUGGACAGUGACUGACGCUGAGACGCGAAAGCGUGGGGAGCAAACAGG
rnacentral:rRNA from 1 species